rnacentral:sRNA from 1 species
CUUCUCCCUCCCUCCCUCUCACCCGCCCCUUACUCUCUCACACAUACACACCAAUAAUAAAAAGAAAACAAAAUGGCUGGAGGUAGGACCCCCGCUGAAAGGGUGCUCCACCAGCCUGCGUCUGGUGCAGUGGCGGAUGCCUGUUAGUCUAGAACUUGAGAGUUAGAAACAAGAUCAGAAGUCAAAGGUCGCAGAUCAGAAGUCAAAGGUCACAUCCUUGGCUGCUGCGUGUCAAGUCUAAGGUCACCCAAGGAGACCCUGUCUCAAAAAACAAGCAAACAAACAAACGUUCAAUGUAGAGAAAAAGAGAAACAAAGCAAGAAAGAAGAUGGAGAAAUGUCAGGAACUGGGCCUGAGUUGCUCCGUGUUUUGUCUGGAUGGAUGUGUGUGGGCCAAGUGCAUGCCUGAUGCCUGCAGAGAUCAGAAGAGGCCACGUGGGUCUCAAACCUGGGUCCUUUGGAAGGCCGGAGAGUGCUUUUAACUCCUGGGCCAUCUUUCCAGCCCCUGCCCACCCACCUUGUUUUCAGACACAGUUUGACUCUGAGACCCAGGUUGACUUGGAACUCACGAAUCCCCUGCUUCAGCCUCCCAAGUGCUGGGAUCUCCGGCCUGCAGUACAGCCUGACCUCGGUCACUUUCAGGCUGUGUGACUUGGAACAGAUUAUCUGACUUCCCUGAGCCUGCUUCAUCCUGUCAAGUGGGGAAGAUGACGUCCACAAUGCUGUCAGGAGACCUGUUGCUGAGCUUCAUGGGCAAAGUUCAUCACCUUCUGUGCCAAGCCUUCGGGAGUGCUUACCUGAGGCAGUGUGCAGCUCUUUUAAGUAUUUCCAGGAAACCGGAGCCUUAUCCUCUGAGGGUGCAGCAGAUGUGACCUUGACCCUGCUGAGUGUGGGCAAGGAGAGGCGAGGCGGUGGUUCACACACCUGUGCGUGGAUCUCAGCCAGCAGAGAGCAGAGCACGGACUGCAAGAGCCUGGCGAGGUCUACAGGGAACUUCAGCAGGGACUGUGGAUGGUAGCUGUUGCUUAGUAUGACCUCUGCGCUUAGUGUGGCCCAGGAGAAUUUGUCCAGGCUGCCGUGGAGAAACCUGCAGCACUCACUGCCCUGAAUACGGUGACUCGGGUCACACACACACAUUAACUAACCAAUUAAAAAUUGAAUUUUGGGGCUGGAGAGAUGGCUCAGUGGUUA